rnacentral:ncRNA from 1 species
GGUGCACUUAGCUGUGCUUAAUUGGGAAUGUGAGUGAGAAUCUCCGACUGUCCCGCAGCAGUGAACUCCGUUAUGGCUCCUAAGCAGUAAAGCCAUUGUCCGCUUGGGCGAGAAGGCGUUUGGGAGUGGAGGAAAGUCUGAAGACCAGCCUUUUAUC